GGGGGCUCCGGGCUGGGCGGU
rnacentral:misc_RNA from 1 species